CUGGAUCUUGUUUUCUCACCUUAUUUUCUCGGUUGUUUUUCCUACCUAUAAAACAUUAAAACAUAACUUUUUUUUUUCCUCACAACAUACCCUAGCAGAGAGAGAAGCUGUAGAGAAACAAAAAUGGCGAAGUUACGGCUGCUCGAUUCUAGUUGAUUUUGAAUCUAUUUCGGGUAAGAUUUCUUCAUUAUUCUUCUAUCCUCUUCUUCUUCUUUUCUAUUUACUACUUUGUUCAGUUUGAUUUGUUCAGUUCGAAGUGAUUUUCUCUUCUUUUUUCUUUUUUUUGUUGAAGUACACAUUCAAUUCUUCCUUUUCUUUAUAUUUCUUCUACCUUCUUCCUCUUAUUUUUAUUUCUUGUUGUGUUCUUCCUAUUGUGUUCUUCUACUGUAAUUUUUUUGUUUUGAAAGCUCUAGUGUUUGAAAUUUUGUGCAAAUUUUGAUGAAAACUUGGUUAGGGUUUUUUAUUUUGGUUUUUUUUCCCUAUUUAACUGUUUAAUUUUGCAAAAAGUUUACGAAUUUAAGUUCGAUUUUUGUUUCUAGGAUUUUAAAUUUGGGAGUUUCCAAAUUAGGGUUAAAAUUUGGGGGUAUUUCUCCGUCUAUUGAAUUCUGCUGUCAUUAGGUUAAAUUCUCCUUUUAUAUUAAUCAGUUAUAGCUUUUGUGAUUGUAUUAUUCUGGUAGUGCCAUCAUGUUCUACAUUGUGGAUAUUGUGAUUUUGUUAUUCAUGUUGUUCAUAUUGAAUAGAAUUGUUCUUUUAUCCAAUGUAAUCAAAUAUAUUUCCUUGUUCUAAUUAUUGGUUGUUUUGUGUUUAGGUUACAUAAGAUUUCUUGUUUGUGGUAAUGGAAUUGAUUGAUAUGAUCAAUUGUGGGUUGUAUUAAUUUUUGUUUUUCUGUCCUAAACAUGGUGCAUACUUGAAUGUUUGUUUCCUUAUUGCUACUGCACCUAAAUCAUGAACAUUGUGCAUACUACAAUGUUUUAAUUUUGUUGUUUUUGUUGCAUUGUGGUUCUUAUUUGAUUGGUUGGAAAUGUAUUUCUUGGUGCUUGUUGUUUUUUGUCUUCUGUCUUCUAUGAGUCUUGUUGGUUUACUUAAUAUAUUCGAUUAUUCUUUAUCGAAUGUUUGAAUUAUCACGAGGGUAAUGUAUUCCAUGUAUACAUGUGUAGAUAAUGCCUAAAAAAUUUGCGGGUCACCUAGUAAAUGGUUGGUGAUAAUAAUGGAGAUGAUAACUAUACCCCACAAGACCUCAACUGUCCUGUGAAUGGAUCACCACCUGGCUAGUUGGUUCUUUAUUUUAUACAUUCAAAUUUUCUGUAGUACAAAUGGUUUCGUGAAAUGAUGGCAUUGUUAUUGUAGAGAACAUAAAAGAAGAAGAAGAUGAUGAUGUGAACCUAGAAGGGUUAGAUACCCAAAUUCCUUCCAACACACCAAUUGGAUUAACACCACUUGCAUCAACUGAAGUUCUAGGAGAAAGUUCAGCAACUGGAGGGGAUGCUCGCAAAAGGAAAGGUAGUGAUGCACCUAUUUUACCAAAGCGUAAUAAGCUGAAAUUUGGAUUGAUAGAUAUACCUGAACCAGCAUCCUUCAAGGGGUUGACUGCAGCUUUGCAGAGUAUAGCCCAAAGUCUGGAAAAACCCAAGAUUGCAGAUCUGUCAACUGCACUUCAAGAGAUGACAAAUGGGGACAGAGAUAUGUAUCUGAGAGCAAUGGACUUUCUAGGAGACAACCCUAGUUUGAUGGCAAUGUUUGUGGGUAUAGAGAAGGAAUACAAGAUGGAAUGGCUUUUGAGAAAGCUUAAUGCCCAUAGGUAGUGAAGGGUGAUCUUGGUGUUUCUAUUUUUUUUAGGCUGCGGAAGUAUUCCUUUUUGUAUGUUGCAGAAGUGUGUUUUAACCUUGUUAUAAUCAUGUACUAGUUUGAUUGUGAACUUAUUUUCAUCACAACCUUUUGAACUUGGUUUGAAUAUAAAUAGUUUGAUUUUGAACUAUUUUAUGAUGUCGCAGCCUUUCAAAUCUCAUUUGAUUUUAUAUAUUCCAUGUUAUGUAAAUUGUGUUUAGAUUAGGGUUUUCU
rnacentral:lncRNA from 1 species